AGUGAACGCUGGCGGCGUGCCUAAUACAUGCAAGUCGAACGGAGUGGCGCACGGGUGAGUAAUGUAUAGCUAAUCUGCCCUUCACUAGAGGACAACAGUUGGAAACGCCUGCUCAUACUCUAUAGUGUAGGUUGAGGCUAUAUUGUAUCAGCUAGUUGGUGAGGUAAUGGCUCACGAAGGCUAUGACGGAUAACUGGUCUGAGAGGACGGUCAGUCACACGUGAACUGAGACACGGUACAGACUCCUACGGGAGGGAGCGGGAGGGAAUAGUGCUCAAUGGGGGAAACCCUGAAGCAGCAAGGCCGCGUGGAGGAUGACACUUUUCGGAGCGUAAACUCCUUUUGUUAGGGAAGCGGUACCUAACGAAUAAGCACCGGCUAACUCCGUGCCAGCAGCCGCGGUAAUAC
rnacentral:rRNA from 1 species